UACGAAGGGACCUAGCGUAGUUCGGAAUUACUGGGCUUAAAGAGUUCGUAGGUGGUUAAAAAAGUUGAUGGUGAAAUCCCAAGGCUCAACCUUGGAACUGCCAUCAAAACUUUUUAGCUAGAGUAUGAUAGAGGAAAGCGGAAUUUCUAGUGGAGAGGUGAAAUUCGUAAAUAUUACAAAGAACACCAAAAGCGAAGGCAGCUUUCUGGAUCAUUACUGACACUGAAGAACGAAAGCAUGGGUAGCGAAGAGGAUUAAAUACCCUCGUAGUCCAUGCCGUAAACGAUGUGUGCUAGACGUUGGAAACUUAUUUUUCAGUGUCGCAGCGAAAGCAUUAAGCACACCGCCUGGGGAGUACGACCGCAAGGUUAAAACUCAAAUGAAUUGACGGGGACCCGCACAAGUAGUGGAGCAUGUGGUUUAAUUCGAAGAUACGCGCAGAACCUUACCAACACUUGACAUGUUCGUCGCGAGACCAAGAGAUUGGUUUCUUCAUUCAGUUGGACGAAACACAGGUGCUGCAUGGCCGUCGUCAGCUCGUGUCGUGAGAUGUUGGGUUAAGUCCCGCAACGAGCGCAACCCCUACCUUUAGUUGCCCCCAUUUAGUUGGGCACUUUAAAGGAACUGCCAGUGAUAAGCUGGAGGAAGGUGGGGAUGACGUCAAGUCCUCAUGGGCCUUACGUGUUGGGUUACACACGUGCUACAAUGGCAUUUACAAUGGGAAGCUAAGCCGCGAGUCCAAGCUAAUCCCAAAAAGAUGCCUCAGUUCGGAUUGUACUCUGUAACUCGAGUGCAUGAAGCUGGAAUUACUAGUAAUCGCGGAUCAGCGCGCCGCGGUGAAUACGUUCCCGGGUCU
rnacentral:rRNA from 1 species